UGCAGUCGAACGAUGAACCACUUCGGUGGGGAUUAGUGGCGAACGGGUGAGUAACACGUGGGCAAUCUGCCCUGCACUCUGGGACAAGCCCUGGAAACGGGGUCUAAUACCGGAUACUGACCCGCUUGGGCAUCCAAGCGGUUCGAAAGCUCCGGCGGUGCAGGAUGAGCCCGCGGCCUAUCAGCUUGUUGGUGAGGUAAUGGCUCACCAAGGCGACGACGGGUAGCCGGCCUGAGAGGGCGACCGGCCACACUGGGACUGAGACACGGCCCAGACUCCUACGGGAGGCAGCAGUGGGGAAUAUUGCACAAUGGGCGAAAGCCUGAUGCAGCGACGCCGCGUGAGGGAUGACGGCCUUCGGGUUGUAAACCUCUUUCAGCAGGGAAGAAGCGAAAGUGACGGUACCUGCAGAAGAAGCGCCGGCUAACUACGUGCCAGCAGCCGCGGUAAUACGUAGGGCGCGAGCGUUGUCCGGAAUUAUUGGGCGUAAAGAGCUCGUAGGCGGCUUGUCACGUCGGUUGUGAAAGCCCGGGGCUUAACCCCGGGUCUGCAGUCGAUACGGGCAGGCUAGAGUUCGGUAGGGGAGAUCGGAAUUCCUGGUGUAGCGGUGAAAUGCGCAGAUAUCAGGAGGAACACCGGUGGCGAAGGCGGAUCUCUGGGCCGAUACUGACGCUGAGGAGCGAAAGCGUGGGGAGCGAACAGGAUUAGAUACCCUGGUAGUCCACGCCGUAAACGGUGGGCACUAGGUGUGGGCGACAUUCCACGUCGUCCGUGCCGCAGCUAACGCAUUAAGUG
rnacentral:rRNA from 1 species